UGGGUAUUGAAGUCCGCUAGCCUAUACGAGCCGUAAAAACCCUGCUGUGUUGAGAAUUACUGUGUAUUGAGAUUUACAAGGGUCUAUAGAGCGACCGUUAUUUAUUGACCUGACACAUGACGAGGAGGCUGGCUCCAGCAGCGCGUCGAUAGAUCUUACCGCGUCUGAAGAGGAGGUUGGCUCCAGCAGAGCGGUUCCGGACUCCUCAUUAUUAAUCGAAAGGAGUUGUGAUCUUACCACGGGUGGUGACGCAGGCAGCCUAGUGCCAGAGCCGUCAUUAUUCAUCGGUAAACUAUGGCUAGCAUUUAACAUAGUUACGCCAUUGCGGUUUGGUGUCGUUCAUCUUUGUUUUUGCUAUGUUUACUCUAACAGAAAGGAGUUGCGGAUCCGGUGACGAUGUGUCUAACUGGACAGAUA